AUACGGAGGGUGCAAGCGUUGUUCGGAAUAACUGGGCGUAAAGCGCACGUAGGCGGAAUGUUAAGUUAGAGGUGAAAUCCCAGGGCUCAACCCUGGAACUGCCUUUAAUACUGGCAAUCUAGAGACCGAGAGAGGUGAGUGGAAUUCCGAGUGUAGAGGUGAAAUUCGUAGAUAUUCGGAGGAACACCAGUGGCGAAGGCGGCUCACUGGCUCGGUACUGACGCUGAGGUGCGAAAGCGUGGGGAGCAAACAGGAUUAGAUACCCUAGUAGUCC
rnacentral:rRNA from 1 species